rnacentral:rRNA from 1 species
GGCGCUUCACACCCACCUAGAGGAGCCUGUUCUAGAACCGAUAACCCCCGUUCAAACCUCACCUUUUCUUUGUUCCCCCCGCCUAUAUACCGCCGUCGUCAGCCCACCCUGUGAAGGCCCAGUAGUGAGCUAAACUGGCAGAGCCCAAAACGUCAGGCCGAGGUGUAGCGUAUGAAGAGGGAAGAAAUGGGCCACAAUUGCUUCAACAGCUAAUACGAAUUGUAACACUGAAAAUGCAAACAUGAAGGAGGAUUUAGAAGUAAGAGGGUAAACAGAGUGUCCCCCUGAAAUGGUCCUGAAGCGCGCACACACCGCCCGUCACUCUCUCCUAACUUAAACAACUAUAAACUAACUUAUAAUCAAAUCCUUAAAGAGGGGAGACAAGUCGUAACACGGUAAGUGUACCGGAAGGUGCACUUGGAAGAGA